CACGUAGGGUGCGAGCGUUUGUCCGGAAUUAUUGGGCGUAAAGAGCUCGUAGGCGGUGUGUCGCGUCGGCCGUGAAAACCUGCAGCUUAACUGUGGGCUUGCGGUCGAUACGGGCAAGCUAGAAUUCGGUAGGGGAGACUGGAAUUCCUGGUGUAGCGGUGAAAUGCGCAGAUAUCAGGAGGAACACCGGUGGCGAAGGCGGGUCUCUGGGCCGAUAUUGACGCUGAGGAGCGAAAGCGUGGGGAGCGAACAGG
rnacentral:rRNA from 1 species